CGUAGGGGGCAAGCGUUGUCCGGAGUUACUGGGCGUAAAGCGCACGCAGGCGGUCUGCUAAGUUUGGAGUGACAGUUGGUGGCUCAACUACCAAAGUGCUUUGAAAACUGACAGACUUGAGGGCUUCAGAGGGACACGGAAUUCCGGGUGGAGUGGUGAAAUGCGUAGAGAUCCGGAGGAACACCAAAGGCGAAGGCAGUGUCCUGGGGAGUACCUGACGCUCAGGUGCGAAAGCCAGGGGAGCGAAUGGG
rnacentral:rRNA from 1 species